UUCUCUCUCUCUCUCUCUCUCUCUUUCUUCUUCUUCUUCUUCUUCUUCUUCUUCUUCUUCUUCUUCGUUUCAAUCCCUAAAUUGUGUAUCUUCUUCGUUGCAAAUCACCUCUACAAGGAUAAUGGUGACGGUCAAGAAUUGAGACUCGUUAUAAGUGAAGUCUAAUUAAUCGCCACACAAACCAUUUGAACCCUUCCGAGCUCUGUCUCGCAAUCUCCGUCCUUGUUAAAGUAAAGGGUCUUGCUGCUUCUCUCUUUUUCGUUCGUCUCUCUGUUUGCUUCGAUGGAUAUGGAGAGUGCAGAUACUGAGCCUAACAACAUGGUUGUCAAAGCUUACCCAUUAGGUAUGCGGAUUAUGAAUAACAAUGGCAUUGGUGAAGAUGAAGGAGACUCUGGAGUUGAACCGUAUAUUGGACUAGAGUUUGACACUGCAGAGGAAGCAAGGGACUACUACAAUUCUUAUGCUACGAGGACUGGUUUUAAGGUUAGGACGGGUCAGUUGUAUAGAUCGAGGACCGAUGGAACAGUUUCUUCGAGGAGGUUUGUUUGCUCUAAAGAAGGUUUUCAGCUUAAUUCAAGAACCGGGUGUCCUGCGUUUAUCAGAGUGCAGCGACGAGAUCCUGGGAAAUGGGUUCUUGACCAGAUUCAGAAGGAGCACAACCACGAGCUUGGAGGUCAAGUAGAAGAGACUACUCCUCGUCCUUCAGUACAACAGAGAGCACCUGCUUCCACGAAGCUAGGCAUAUCUGUUCCACAUAGACCCAAGAUGAAAGUUGUUGAUGAAGCUGAUAAAGGAAGGUCAUGCCCUUCUGGUGUGAUCUCUUUUAAGCGCUUCAAAGGAGCUGAAGAGAGUGAUGUGCAAACGCAGCCCAAGGCUACUGAACCUUAUGCAGGGUUGGAGUUCAGCUCAGCUAACGAAGCGUGCCAGUUUUAUCAAGCGUAUGCAGAAGUUGUAGGUUUUAGAGUUCGGAUAGGUCAGUUGUUUCGAUCAAAAGUAGACGGAUCAAUCACAUCAAGAAGAUUUGUCUGUUCAAAAGAAGGGUUUCAGCAUCCUUCGAGAAUGGGCUGUGGAGCUUACAUGAGGAUCAAAAGACAAGACUCUGGAGGUUGGAUAGUGGAUCGUCUCAAUAAAGAUCAUAAUCAUGAGCUUGAACCGGGAAAGAAGAAUGCUGGUAUGAAAAAAAUAACAGAAGAUGUGACACGAGGGUUGGAUUCUGUGGAUCUUAUUGAACUAAACGACUUCAGCCAUCACAUCAGUAAAGCCAGAGAAAACACCAUAGGAAAGGAAUGGUAUCCAUUGCUUUUUGAUUACUUUCAGUCAAAACAGGCAGAAGACAUGGGAUUCUUUUACGCCGUCGAGCUUGAUGGUAACGGAAGCUGUAUGAGUAUUUUUUGGGCAGAUAGCAGAUCAAGGUUUGCCUGCAGUCAGUUUGGUGAUGCUGUUGUUUUUGAUACUUCAUAUAGAAAAGGAGAAUACUCUGUUCCGUUUGCUAUGUUUAUUGGUUUUAAUCACCAUAGGCAACCCGUGCUUCUCGGGGGUGCCUUAGUUGCUGAUGAAUCUAAAGAGGCUUUCUCAUGGUUGUUUCAGACAUGGCUUCGUGCCAUGUCAGGGCGUCGUCCCAGAUCUAUUGUAGCUGAUCAAGACUUGCCUAUCCAACAAGCUGUGGCUCAAGUCUUUCCCGGGGCACAUCACCGGUUCUCAGCGUGGCAGAUAAGGUCCAAAGAACGAGAAAAUCUCAGGUCAUUCCCGAAUGAAUUCAAGUACGAGUACGAGAAGUGUUUAUACCAGUCGCAGACAACGGUUGAGUUUGACACUAUGUGGAGUGCUUUGGUAAACAAGUACGGCCUUACGGAUAACAUGUGGCUCAGAGAAAUAUAUGAAAAACGAGAGAAUUGGGUACCGGCAUAUCUAAGAGCCAGUUUCUUUGGUGGAAUCCCUGUAAACGGCACCUUCGAGCCAUUUUACGGAACUUCUCUUAGUUCUCUAACGUCUCUCAGGGAGUUCAUCUCGCGGUAUGAGCAAGGACUAGAGCAGCGCCGUGAAGAGGAACGGAAAGAGGAUUUCAAUUCUUAUAACUUGCAGCCGUUUCUACAGACGAAAGAACCCGUUGAAGAACAAUGCAGAAGGUUGUACACGCUCACCAUUUUCAGGAUUUUCCAGAGCGAGCUUGCUCAGUCUUAUAAUUACCUUGGUUUAAAGACCUAUGAGGAAGGAGCUAUCAGCAGGUUUCUGGUGAGGAAAUGUGGGAACGAGAAUGAGAAACACGCUGUAACUUUCAGUGCAUCGAAUCUCAAUGCAAGCUGCAGUUGUCAGAUGUUUGAGUACGAAGGACUUCUCUGCAGACAUAUCUUGAAAGUGUUCAACCUCUUGGACAUUCGAGAACUCCCAUCUGGAUAUAUACUGCAUCGGUGGACCAAAAACGCGGAGUUUGGGUUUGUACGCGAUGUAGAAUCAGGCGUGACUUCUCAGGACCUUAAGGCCUUGAUGAUCUGGAGCCUGAGGGAAGCAGCUUCAAAGUAUAUAGAGUUUGGGACAUCUUCUCUGGAGAAGUAUAAGCUUGCAUAUGAGAUCAUGCGCGAGGGUGGGAAGAAACUGUGUUGGCAGAGAUGAGGAAACCAAAUUGAAAAACAAGAAGACGAUGAAGCCUUACUUUAUUAGUGAAGAUGAAAUUCGGGCCGCCAGUGUAAAUCCUAACCCUUCUGUUAACUUAAAAUCAUCAGACAAGGCGGUGGCAGUGGUCGUCAAAGUCGUGUGGCCAGUUGUAUUCUUUCAUAAAAUCGAGAAAGCAGACUUCCUCGGCGGCUCUCUUUGCCAUAAGAGGUAGGUGAUACGAGGCUCUCUACGUAUGUAUCGGCCUCGAAUCCAACACCUUCCUUGAACCCGCGAAUUGUGAUUAUCCUCGAUGCAUCAGUCUUGAGGUUGUACAAGACCAUGUCUCCAUCAACGUCCAGGAGAAACUCUUGAUCGUUCUUAGUUGAACAUUGCGGUUUCAUACACCAGAACAACAAGCUGGUCCGGAUUCUGGUCCAUGAUUUAGCAUCACCGUACUCAUCCAUCACCCACAUAUCAUCGUGGUGAUCGUAGCAACUAUUGACCACACACAGACGUCCGUUAAGACUUGAAACCACAAAAUUUAAGUCUUUCUUCGUAUGGGAACAAGCAGAAACAGGCAAUGGCAUCUCUCGAAACUCCUCAGUAUUUAGAUCAAACGCUACGACUACUCGCUGGUUCCGGUUAUCCUCCUCCUCCUGUACAAGAGUGAGCACCCAGUGAAUGGCACCGUUUAAAUGCACACCGCGAGUGCAGAAGGCUUUACUGAGUUUAUAAUAAUGCAAAGAGCAGAUCCGUCUCCAUGAGUUUGCCUUCAAGGAGUAGACACUGGCGUCGAGAACAUGUGGAUUAGACCGACUAGUAACACCAAGUCUCACCACUUUGUCAUCAUGACUGAGAUGAUCGAAGCCAAAUCCAAACGUUUGGAAACUAUAAACUCCGUCUGGAGCGUCGUCAUCUUCUUCUACGGGAGCGUCAGGUUAUCCCUUGGAGUCUCCGGUGGUUGGGUUAAACAAGAAAACACAAUCUUUUCUAGGAUAAGAUUCAAUACCGAUACCGAUACACACUAAACCGUUGGAUGAUCCAAUGAUGGUGACCCAGUUUCUUCUACACUCAUGUCUUGACACCUUCUUCAUGUCGUCUUUUAGCGGAUAAUUGAGUUCCACGGCCGCUACUAAUUCCCUAGUUCCUCCUCCUCCUCCUUCACAUCCGUCACCGAUCGAAUCAACAUCCAACGAGAAUAGAUUAUACGUAGACACGAUGAUUUUCCGGUGGUUCGUUCGUUCUAGGUGACUCUUCACGAACCCCUGAUCCGACGAUAAAGAGUAAAACAGCUUCGAAACGCACCUGAAUCGCCCUAUCGAUUUCGCCGGUAAUCGGAGAAUAAUUUCCGUGAUUAUAUCAAGAGGAAGAACGAGAGAUUCACGUGAAGCUUUGUCCUCCUUGGUCUCUUCUUCGCCGCCGUCUUCAUCUACUCUUUUCGCCGCCUCCAUUGUCGCUUUCGUAAAACGUCGUUGCUCGUCUGGUGUUACUCUUCUACUCUUCUUCACUGUGAACCUGAAACCUAAACAUUGGAUCCGGUUCUUAUUCGGUUUUCUCAAAAUCGAUUUUAGUCCCAAUUUCCCGGUUUAAUAGUCAGACCGGAGAUUUACAUUUUUUUUCUUACUGAUUUAGAUACCAAAUCAUACAACUACGUA